CUCACAGUUCCACGUGGUUUGGGAGGCCUCACAAUCAUGGCGGAAGGCAGAAGGCAGAAGGCAGAAGUCUUACGUGGCAGCAGGCAAGAGAGAAAAUGAGAACCAAGAGAGGGGGGUUUCCCCUUAUCAAACCAUCAGCUCUCAUAAGACUUAUUCACUACCAUAAGAACAGUACGGGGGAACCACCCCCAUGAUUCAAUUACCUCUCAUCGGGUCCCUCCCACAGCACAUGGGAAUUAUGGGAGAGAGUUGGGUGGGGACACAGCCAAACCAUAUCAGCAGUGUUAACUAAACUUCCCUGAGGAUAAGAAUCACCCGGGCAACUGCUAAAACAACACAUACUUCGUCCUUCUCAGACCUGCUGAAUCUGCUGUCUUCCAGGGAAAAUGAUACCAUUCACAGUUGUGCUAAGUGUCUGAGGAGUUUUGUCUGCGGCUCGUCCUGCUACAAUAAGAAUUCUUGCAGCUGCCAUCUGGAGUUCUGGGAACACUCACGGCCUUGAGCUGCCAGUUGGAAGUCCAACUACCCUGAGAUCACCCUGCUCAAGAAACACAUGAAGAGUCCCUGAAAUUGCGUGAAGAAUGAGAUGCCUGGCCACCUCCCAGAGCACCUUCUAGAAGGUUGAGUGUCAAAAGAUCUAAAGCCACCUUUAAUCUGCUAAAACACAUCAUUUCAAAAAUAUCAAGAUGAUGCCUGACGUAUAAUACAAAGGAAAAUAAAAGUGAGGAAAGUGUGAUUCAGGAAGUCUUCUCAGAAAUUACAUAACAUCUGAUUCUCGUCUUGCAGUUUUUGACAACCUUGCCUAUCUUUAGACAGUUAUAUGACAUAUACACUCAUACUCCAAUAGAUAAUGAGGCAGGAGAACCGGGUCUUGAAGCAGGGAACCUAAGGCUGAUUCAGGCUGACUUCCUAGAACUAAAUCAAAAGGAAAACCCCAACGUUCCACACCUAAGUAACGAAAGGACCUGAGGCUACCCCUUUUGCAAAACCCCCCACCCUUUUUUUCUGCGUGGCAGAUGGAAAAUUGUACGUAUCUCUGAUUGGUUGCUUUUUGCAACCAAUCAGACGUUUGCAUAGAAGGGUAACUUUGUAACUUCACUUCAGCCUCUGAUUGGUUGCUUUCGACAACCAAUCAGACUGAUGAUGGGCCGCUAGUUUAUUUACAUAGGUGUACACCAAGUAACCAAUGGGAAACCUCUGGAGGGUAUUUAAACCCCAGAAAAUUCUGUAAAGGGGCUCUUGAGAAUCUAUGCUCAGGCCGCUCCCACCCUUUGGAGUGUACUUUUGUUUUCAAUAAAUCUGCUUUUGUUGCUUCGUUCUUUCCUUGCUUUGUUUGUGCAUUUUGUCCAAUUCUUUGUUCAAAACGCCAAGAACCUGGACACCCUGCACUGGUAACAGAUAAUAUUUUAUUAUUUUCUAGAGUGAGUUCCCAUCAGUUUGUCGUCUCUGUUCAGAGAAUAUUCCCAUGCCCUACUCAGGACACUCAACUUGAAGCCUAUCAAGAAAAUCGGAGCUUUGCUAAGAGCAGACUGUCUACGGAAACUCUUAUUUUCUGGCAUUGACAGUAGAAUUCUCUUUUGCGUGUGCUAAAAACUGUGAUUAUGCGGCGUUGACAAUGCACCUGACAGUUGGAUAUCACCUUAUUUUAAAGCCCGCAGGCCCCUGAGUCUUCAGUUCACUCAUGUACUAUCAAAGACAUGUGAAAAGGCAAAGAGUGAUCAAAGAACAGAGAUCAAAGUUGGGGCAUUAAAAGUUAUAUUAUUAUUUUCAUCGGUUAAACUCUAUUCCUUCUUUGUAUGAAUGAAAGGGAGAUCUGUGAUUGGAUUUCCACUGAUUGCCACCCGCUAAUCCGUGUCACACGGACAACAUCAGCUGCAGCAGCUGAGGGUUGUUGGUGUAGAUCUGAGCUGAGACUCAGCACGUUGAGAGGAUGGGAGAAAUUCAGCAGCUGCCAAAGGAGGGGCUGAGAAGGAGAAACGUUUCCAUCAGGCUAAUGAAACCUGUCAGCAACAGCAGGGGAUCCAGAGCCCGUCCUCCCAGAAUGCAAGAGGAGCGGAAGAGCAGCCAAGAAGAAAGGAGGGAGGAGGGGAGGAGGAAGAAACAAAGAAUUCAUAAUUAUACCAAUUAUAGCAGGAGUAGGAGGAGUUUGGCAGGAGGGGUGGUCAUGAAACAAAAGAAAACAAUUAAAGUAUGGUUCAACAAUUGGCAAAGUGCUGACUUUGUUCUCUGAACAUUUCUCCUAGGGAGCAGCUUCUGCUGGGGCGGUGGUAGAGGUCGAUGUGCCUAAGCCUUAGGGUCCCUCUUCACCCUGGGAGGAGCACUGGCAAUGGGUUCAGAUGGUCUGAAGUGUUUACAAAUUCUGCGGAAGGAAAAUAUCAUAACUGCCGUCAGUUAAGCCUACUGUGUCUUUCCACCUCGGCUUCCCUCAUGGAGAGUUUUGGGGUUAGCUAAAGGGAAGCUGAGUUAGGAAGGCACCAUAUUAACUGCAUUUUACAAAGAUGUUUUGGGACAUUUCAAUAAAAGCACAUGAGAAACCAUAAAGUCCUAUUUUUUUUUCUUUUCUUUUGAUACAGAGUCUCGCUCUGUCGCCCAGGCUGGAGUGGAGUGGCGCAAUCUUGGCUCACUGCAACCUCCACCUCCUGCUUCAGCCUCCCAAGUAGCUGGGAUUACAGGUGCCCGCCACCACGCCCAGCUAAUUUUUUGUAUUUUUAGUACAGACAGGGUUUCACCACGUUGGUCAGGCUGUCUCAAACUCCAUCC
rnacentral:lncRNA from 1 species